UGCAAAAACGAUGGUGGGUUAUACCCACCAUAUCUGUGGAAGGUACCCACUUUUUUGUUUUCCACCAAUGUGGGUGAAACCCCCUGGUGUUAUAUUCCCCCCUUUGGUGGAAAAUACCCACCAUCAAUGUGUAAUAAUUACACUCAUAAUAAUAAUGUAAUAAUUAAUUUAGUAAUGCCACGCCCACUGCGCAUGCGCAGUUCAGUUCCAAAUUAAUCCAGCUGCAAAUGGCUUCCUUCUCUUUGUCCUCCAUUACUGCCAGUCUAUUUUUUGGUCGUUUAGCUCUUAGUUUUGCCUCUGUAUUUUUUGAAAUCCCCAGAAAAGUAUGGUACUACUUCUGUUAUGUAUUUAUUACGAUAGUUUUGCUCAUUUUAUUGUAGUUAUCUCAUUUUCGAAGCCUGCUUCCAUGUCAGCAGCUAUUUCUGUGACUCUUCCUUCAGGCUGUCCCCUUAGGCUAUGAUUUGUGUCUAGACUGAUUGAACUACCAAUAGCUGUGUUCAAAAUGGAUCACGUCCAUACAAGACUUGCUUAUUGAUUUUGUUUUGAUGUGUAUAGGUUUUAGCUUCUUUUCAAGUGAAUUGUAUCUGAUUACAUCAUUUUUUUGAUAUGGUUUUAACUUCUUUUUAAGUGUAUUGUGUCUCUGAGUGUACAAGACUGUAUCAUUUAA